rnacentral:lncRNA from 1 species
UGAAACUACACAUUUGAAUGUUGGUAUAUAUGUAUAUAUAUUCUACAUUCAUUCCAACAUAGAAAAACACUGUAAAUCGUCUUUGCUCAUAAAUUAUCAGUAUCGUAAGUAAAUACAAAAAAAUUAUCAAAUUCUACUAUACUUUCAUUGUAUUGAAACACAGACAAGUUUUCUCAAUCUCUUGAUACAAUUUGUUUUG